rnacentral:tRNA from 1 species
UCCCUGGUAGCUCAGCUGAUAAAAGAAUCUGCCUGCAAUGCAGGAGACCCUGGUUUGAUUCCUGGGUUGGGAA